rnacentral:rRNA from 1 species
AUUGAACGCUGGCGGCAGGCUUAACACAUGCAAGUCGAGCGGAGAGAGGUAGCUUGCUACUGAUCUUAGCGGCGGACGGGUGAGUAAUGCUUAGGAAUCUGCCUAUUAGUGGGGGACAACAUUUCGAAAGGAAUGCUAAUACCGCAUACGUCCUACGGGAGAAAGCAGGGGAUCUUCGGACCUUGCGCUAAUAGAUGAGCCUAAGUCGGAUUAGCUAGUUGGUGGGGUAAAGGCCUACCAAGGCGACGAUCUGUAGCGGGUCUGAGAGGAUGAUCCGCCACACUGGGACUGGAACACGGCCCAGACUCCUACGGGAGGCAGCAGUGGGGGAUAUUGGACAAUGGGCGCAAGCCUGAUCCAGCCAUGCCGCGUGUGUGAAGAAGGCCUUAUGGUUGUAAAGCACUUUAAGCGAGGAGGAGGCUACUUUAGAUAAUACCUAGAGAUAGUGGACGUUACUCGCAGAAUAAGCACCGGCUAACUCUGUGCCAGCCGCCGCCGUAACAC